rnacentral:rRNA from 1 species
GAUGAACGCUGGCGGCGUGCCUAAUACAUGCAAGUCGAGCGAAAAGACGAGGAGCUUGCUCCUGUGACGUUAGCGGCGGACAGGUGAGUAACACGUGGAUAACCAACAUAAAAGACAGGGAUAACUUCGGGAAACCGGAGCGAAUACCGGAUAAUAUAUUGAACCGCAUGGUUCAAUAGUGAAAGACGGUUUUGCUGUUACUGAUAGAGGGUACCGAGCCGCAUUAGAGAGUUGGUAAGGUAACGGCUUACCAAGGCAACGAUGCGUAGCCGACCUGAGAGGUUGAUCGGCCACACUGCAACUGAGACACGGUCCAGACUCCUACGGGAGGCAGCAGUAGGGAAUCUUCCGCAGUGGGCGAAAGCCUGACGGAGCAACGCCGCGUGAGUGAUGAAGGUCUUCGGAUCGUAAGACUCUGUUAUUAGGGAAGAACAACUGUUUAAGUCACUAUGCACGUCUUGACGGUACCUAAUCAGAAAGCCACGGCUAACUACGUG